rnacentral:rRNA from 1 species
GAUGAACGCUGGCGGCGUGCCUAAUACAUGCAAGUCGAGCGAACAGACGAGGAGCUUGCUCCUCUGACGUUAGCGGCGGACGGGUGAGUAACACGUGGAUAACCUACCUAUAAGACUGGGAUAACUUCGGGAAACCGGAGCUAAUACCGGAUAAUAUAUUGAACCGCAUGGUUCAAUAGUGAAAGACGGUUUUGCUGUCACUUAUAGAUGGAUCCGCGCCGCAUUAGCUAGUUGGUAAGGUAACGGCUUACCAAGGCAACGAUGCGUAGCCGACCUGAGAGGGUGAUCGGCCACACUGGAGCUGAGACACGGUCCAGACUCCUACGGGAGGCAGCAGUAGGGUAUCUUUCGCAAUGGGCGAAAGCCUGACGGAGCAACGCCGCGUGAGUGAUGAAGGUCUUCGGAUCGUAAAACUCUGUUAUUAGGGAAGAACAAAUGUGUAAGUAACUAUGCACGUCUUGACGGUACCUAAUCAGAAAGCCACGGCUAACUACGUG